AUAAACGCUGGCGGCGUGCAUGAGACAUGCAAGUCGAACGAACGAGCUUGCUCGUUAGUGGCGGACGGCUGAGUAACGCGUAGGUGACCUGCCCCGAAGUGGGGGAUAACUGCCCGAAAGGGUGGCUAAUACCGCAUGUGGCGACGCAUUCAUUUGCGUCAUCAAAGCCGCGAGGCGCUUCGGGAGGGGCCUGCGUCCGAUUAGCUCGUUGGCGGGGUAACGGCUCACCAAGGCGACGAUCGGUAGGUGGUCUGAGAGGACGAUCACCCAGACUGGGACUGAGACACGGCCCAGACUCCUACGGGAGGCAGCAGUCGGGAAUUUUGCUCAAUGGGCGCAAGCCUGAAGCAGCAACGCCGCGUGAGGGAUGACGGCCUUCGGGUUGUAAACCUCUUUUUUCAGGGAAGAUGAUGACGGUACCUGGAGAAUAAGUCACGGCUAACUACGU
rnacentral:rRNA from 1 species